ACUCACCCAAUUAAGAACUAUUUUAUACAAAUGAGGCAACCUUCACCAAGGUUUUACCACUCCAAGUGAUAGGUUCACCUUCACCAAGGUUUUCACUUGAGCAACCUCACAACCCAACUUUCCCAACCCCUUAUACAACCAACAAAGAAUCUUUCUACUCAAAAAUCUCACUUGUAAGCUUAUAUUUUGUGUUGGCAAAAGUCUCUAGUCUUCUUGUGCUUUGGGGUUUUUAUAGAAGGUGAGAAAUGGCUCCAAAAGACUCUCCAACGGUCAAAUAUUAAUUGCUGUCAAAACUAGCCGUUGGCCUGUCGGACGUCCGACAGGUGCCUGUCGGACGUCCGAACCACCUGUCGGACGUCCGAACCCUGCGUCCGAACGUAGGCAGAGAGUCAUCAAAUCUUUGCGAAAUUUCUCGGACGUCCGAUGCGAUCGAUGUGCGUCCGAGGCGUGCGUCCGAUCCUUCCGGACGUCCGAUGCUUCCUCACGAGCGUCCGACAGAGUUUCCUUCUUGAUGUUCUUCAUCCUUUCGGACGUCCGAUAGCGUCCGACAUGAGUGCCCUGUUUUUGCUUCUUCUUUUAUGCCACAAGAAUCUGUUCUAACAAAUUACUCACAUAAAAACAUUAGCCCAAAUCUACAUUUUGGUUUGUUAAUCAUCAAAACCAAGGAUUGAUCGACCAAGGUCAACAAUCUCCCCCUUUUUGAUGAUGACAAACAAAAUGAAGAUUUCUUUUAUCAAAUAAGUUCAAAUAAAACUCCCCCUUAGAAAGUGCCAACAUACAAAGAAAUUUCAAUAAAAGCUCCCCCUUAGAAAGUGCCAACAUACAAAGAAAUUUCAAUAAAUCCUACUCCCCCUUUUGGCAUCAAUCAAAAACAAACUCCCCCUUUAUUUUUCAAAUCAAGACCAUAUUGAAUAUCAAAAUUUUCAAUUGUACUUACAACCAUAUAGCACUUUUUGGAUCAAAUCAUCAUGAUGUGCCUAAAUAUGAGAAAUUUCAUUUGGUACCAUUUCUUUAUAGGGUCCUUGGGAGUUAAUACGACAUGAUCUAGCAAUCCACAUGGAUUUCAUGCCUUUUCUCAUAUUUUUCUUUACAUAACAAUCAUUUUGCAUAUGUCCAAAUUUGCAACAAAAGUGACACAUGAUAGAAGUAUUUUGCACAUAGGUGGAUUUAAUGCAACUAAUUUGCUUACUUCUUAUUAUAACAAACUUAUUUGUGCCUUGAAAAGAUUUGCUUUUUUUUGUUUGAGAAAACUUUUGUUUUUCAUUUUGGAGAAACUCGUUCAAGUCAUUAAUUCUUUUCUUUAACAAAUUUUGUUCCUCCAACAUUUUUUCAUAAAACUUUGUUGUCUCUUCCAACUUCCUUUUCAAAAUAUUUUUUUGAUUUUUUAAAUCAUCAUUUCCCAUUCUCAAACAUUUGUUUUCUUGAAAAAGUUUGGAGUUUUCUUCCAACAAAUCAUUUAUUUUUGUUUUCAAAUCUUUAUUUUUAGCAUAAGAUUUUCUCAAACUUUUAUGCAUUUUAAUCAUAAGAAUUUUCACAUCAUCAUUUUCAUUAUCUUUAUCACAAGAAGAGUGAUAAGAACUUACCUCAUCUUCUCCAACGGCCAUUAGUGCUAUUUGGGCCAACUCUUCUUUUUCUCUUUUUGAAUUGCAUUCAUCCCAUGUAACUUUGCAAUCUCCUCUUGAACAUCUCUUGUUGAAGAUCUUCUUGAAACUUUUGAUGUGAGGAGUUAUAUCAUUGUCCACUUCCAUGAUUUCAUUACCCAUGAAGGAUGGGUUAUCCCCCACUUGAGAUGCUUUAAAAGCUAUGCCUCUCAUAUACAUUCUUGCAUUUUCUUCCUCUUGCACUUUGAGUUUCAGUUUUAAUUCAUAAGAGGUUAGGGAAUUCACAAGAGAUUCAAUGGACAUAGAAUUUAAAUCCUUUGCCUCUUCUAUAGCAUUUAUUUUGUUUUCCCAUUCUUUUGGCAAGGCAUUCAAAAUCUUUCUAUUUUUCUCACCCAAACAAUAUUCUUUUCCAAGCAAUUUAAGAUCUUCAAUAAUGUCACAAAAUCUACUACACAUCUUAUCAACAUUUUCAAGAGGAUGCAUUUUGAAAAAUUCAUAUUGAGAAACAAGCAAAGAUUUCUUUUGUUCUUUAAACUCUUGGUUACCUUCAUGAAAUACACACAAUUUAUCCCAAAUAUCUUUAGCAGAUUUACAACCUUUAAUCCUACUAGAUUCAUUUACAUCUAAUGUAUUGUACAAUAUACACAUGGCCUUGGCAUUCAAAGAAAGGUAUCUCUUGUUUUUUUCAUUCAAUUCUUGUCUAGUCUUUAAUCUACUCAAAUUGGUGGUGGAGUCAACUAUUCUAGCUUCAUAAGGACCAUCUUCUACCACAUACCAUAAUUCAAUAUAAACGGAUUGUAAGAAAAUCAUCAUUCUUUGUUUCCACAUGCUAAAAUGAGAACCAUUAAACAUAGGUGGUCUAUCAAUAGAUUGCCCUUCUAAAAAAGAAACUUUUAUGGUUGCCAUGAUCUUUACUCUAAGCGGUUAAGCUUGAUCAAAAGAGACCAAGCGCUGAUACCAAUUGUAAGUGCCCGGUGCAACCCAAUGAGUACAAACAAUAUCACAAUGAUGCACAAAGAUAUAUCAAAUUUAAGCACCAUAAAGAAAACUUAAUUAAAGAGAAAAGAUAAGAAAUGCAAAUCAAAUAUGAAUCCAAUAGCUUCUUCAAUAAAUGGCGAUGCUAACCAAGAUGUACAAGUGAAGGCUCACUCCUUCCUCACCCCAAACACACUUUGGUUGAGCCAAGGAGUUUUACAACAAUUCUAGUUAACCCUCAACAACCUACACUUGAAAGAUCACUCACCCAAUUAAGAACUAUUUUAUACAAAUGAGGCAACCUUCACCAAGGUUUUACCACUUCAAGUGAUAGGUUCACCUUCACCAAGGUUUUGCUCCUCCUAGAGAGUAACCUUCACUUGAGCAACCUCACAACCCAACUUCCCCAACCCCUUAUACAACCAACAAAGAAUCUUUCUACUCAAAAAUCUCACUUGUAAGCUUGUAUUUUGUGUUGGCAAAAGUCUCUUGUCUUCUUGUGCUUUGGGGUUUUUAUAGAAGGUGAGAAAUGGCUCCAAAAGGCUCUCCAACGGUCAAAUAUUAAAUGCUGUCAAAACUAGCCGUUGGCCUGUCGGACGUCCG
rnacentral:lncRNA from 1 species